GCAGUCCUAGUUUCAAAAGUGGCUCUGAGGCGGAGAAUGCAAUUCUGCUGAAAACAGGCAUGUCAGAAGAUUUGGCAGAGCCUCUCUAAAUAAUAGAGAGCAUUAAUCAUCUAUGUGAACUUUAUAUGACCAAGAAACAGCAAGAAAUCAAAAAUUCUGCAUUCAUUUUGUAACCAAGGAAAUGAACAAACGAAAUAUAUAAAAAAGUCUCAAGAGCAGGAUCAUACAAAGUUAUAAAUGAAGUUGAUGUUCCAUUUGUUAAAGCACAAAUGACUCUUCAGUAUUACAAAAAGUUUCACACUUACAACUAUUGUAAGUUAAUACUGUCAUAAUCACGGUCCAAAACCAAAUGAAUAGAACAGAACUGUUACUUAGAAAUGUCUACAUAGGUAGAGAUGAGCGAAACAAUAAUGGCCCAGUAGAUGCAUGUAACCAUGUGGGGGUGUUUGAAGUAAGCACUGGUAGUAAAUUUUGGAAUUAUGAAUUUUUUAUUUGUAUUUUUAUUUAUUUUUUAUACAUUCUAAAUGUAUUUGAUCCAGCAAAACAUCCUUUGUAAAAAUGUCAGAAAUCAUUUAUGAAUUGCAUUGUUGAAAAAAAAAACUAAAAAAACAUGAACGACAUGAUGUACAGUACAGGCCAGAAAUAAUAGUAAAAAAAAAAAAAAAUU